UCUACAACGCUUAUUGAGUAAUUGCACUAGCACGCACGAUGUAUAACCAAGAAAUCAACCGAGAUAAAUAAGCAUUAGGAGCACGUAGGCAUAUACAUUAGACGAUGAGUUCCUCCUCCUUGUGGGUCUCGAUGACGACGUCGGAGGUGGGGUAGGCGGCGCAGGUGAGCACCCACCCGGCGGCGACCUGGUCGUCGUCGAGGAAGCUCUGGUCGGACUGGUCGAUGCUGCCGGAGACGAGCUUGCCGGCGCAGGAGGAGCAGGAGCCGGCGCGGCACGAGUAGGGCAGCUCGAUCCCUUCCUCCUCGGCGUGGUCGAGGAUGUAGACGUCGUCGGGCACCUGGAGCUCCACCUCGCCGUCGGGAGUGAUGAGCUUGACGUUGUAGGUCGCCUGCGCGCGCAGCCUGGCUCCGCGGGGAGCCUUGGCCGGCAGCGGGACGGUGGACGGCGCCGGCGCCGGGGCCGCGCGGAGGGCGAAGCAGGCAGGCGCGCGGAGGCUGCUGAGCACGGUGGCCAUUGCGGACUUGCGGCGUGUGUAGUGAAGGGAGAGCUUGGAGCUGGAGGAGUUGGAGCUAUUAGCAGAGGCGAGCAGCAGCUAAUGAUGAUAGCUUAUAGGUAGCUAAAAGCGAGAUGAGGUGAAAUGAAGGGUCGGGGUGGGUGUAGCGUGAAGGGGAGGGCGGGAGGCUUAUCUUCUUGGUCGGGACCAGGACGACAUCCGUGGGGGAAAUCAACUACUCGAAAGUCGAAAUACAGCAGGGCCACACGCUAGACUCCAAACGUCAUCGAGAAUUCUCCGACCAUGAAUUUCACCAUGAAAUUCGCUAGUAAAAAUAUAACUUCUCCUCACCGAUCACAUUUGAAUCCGGUACUAAUGUUAAAAUUUGCCGGAGGUCCUUUUGUACCGAGUGGGGUUUCCAAUUGGUACUAAAGUCCCCUUUUAAUGGUUGGAAACCCCACCCAAUACUAAAGCCCCGUCUGCCGCCGGCCCUCCCCCACUCACACGCGCCUGCAUUAUCUCCUCAUCCAGUACACUUCUCCUUCUCUUCUCUCAUACUCCCUCUCCUCUUCCUAUCCUCUACUCUCCUCCCUCACACUCCCUCUCCCAGAUCUGCCUCUCCUCCGCUCGCCCCUCACCGACGAUGAGGAGUGGCGGCGUCGGGCCGGGGCGGCUGCGACGACGCAGGAGGGGCGCGGCAGCGGGAGCAGUGGGGUGGAGCAGGGAGCGGAGAGGAGGCGGUGAUGGGAGAGUGCAGCAGAGGAGGGGGAGGAGGAGGAGGAGGCGGAGGGGGCUGGCGGCGGGCGGAGGGAGGCCGGGACCGGCGGGGGAGGGGGGGGUUCUUCUUUUUUAAUUUUUUUAACACCCUCUAGUACAAGUUAUCUCAAUCGGUACUAGAGGAUCCCCCUCGAGUACAGGAUUGCUACCAGUUGCAGAAUCGGUACUAGAGGGGGGUUGGGAACCGACAAUAGAGGUUAUUUUUUAUAGUGAUUACUCAAAAUAGUGACAGAGAAAGUAGUAUUCAUUGUAUUCUCACGUACUCCCUCCGUUUAUUUUUAUAAGGCGUGAUAUGGCAUGGCACGUACUCCCAAAUUACACUUUGAUCAUUAAUUUAUCUUAUAUUAUAUUGUUUAUGACUAUAAACUUAUAAUCAUUGGAGAAUACAUUUGAUUGCAAAUCCAACCAUUUCAAAUUUAUACCAUAAAAAUAAAAAAAUAUUGGUUAAAUUAUUAGUCAAAGAUAGCAAACUUUUACAUUUGAUAUGCGCAUACGCCUUAUAUACAAACAUGAACGGAAGGAGUAGAAAAUAGACUGUGUGCGCCAGUCACUGCCCAUUGGUUGGUUGAGCGUGGCGUGUGGAGGCCACGGCCUCGAUCCAGGGCAUAUGCUUCUUUCGGUCCUUAGCAGUUGGCGGUAUCACGUGGUUCUCGUCAAUUUUUGUGUAUCUGGCCAGAGAUCUAAAUUACAUGUAAUUUUACAUGUAUGAAAAAUUAGUCAGUUCGCUGGUUAGCUUUCCAUGCCAACCAUGGAUCUCUUUUCUCUUUUCUUUUCUUUCUCUUCUUUUCUUCUCUCCCUGGUGAUGAGUGAUGGGUGGGUGGGUGGUCAGCAAAAACUAGCGAGCCUGCUGCAAAAACUAUGGCAUGGAAAGCUAACCAUCGAUAUAGUAUCAGUAUAAAAACUAGUGCCUGCUCCGUUAGAUUAGGUGGAAAACUCUAGUCAGUUCGCUACUGAACUACGGAUUGAUAAACUUUAGAUGGAAUACUCUAAGGAAAAAGUUACGAUAAUCCGUGCGCUUGCGAUUCACAAAUUGAUGCGCUAACUGCCGCCAACAAGCUUUUCCGGUGCUGUUGCCAGGGAUCAGCAACUCGAACCCUAGGGUGAGACUAACUCUAAUUUUUCUAUUGCAUAUCCUGUUUUUCUUGUUUGCGUCCUUAAAAGCAAGUAAAUACUAGACGUCAUAUAAUCGAACAUGGACUUUCAAGUCUCAAUUCACUCCGAUAAGAUGAUAACAACAUCGAGCUCAACUCUUUAGCAGUAGGUGAUAACUUGUUAGUGGCCCAACAUCUGUUAUUGAGUCCACACCAAUGAACACAAUACAAAUGCUUAUAAGCAAGUGGCACAUAAUCUGAGAUGGGCUUAGCAAGUGGUAAAACCAUGGUGUUGGGAUAUGAGGAUGUCCAGUUAACAGAGGUGAAAAACUAAUCAAGUUGCUCAAGUAAAGGAUCUUGCUGCAUGUUGCUCCUGGUAAAAGUCCUUCACUUAAUUGGUAAUUCAAUGAGGCCCAGCUGCCCAAUGACGUCAUUAAAUAGCAAGGUAUCCAGAAAAUUACCACCCAAUUUGUUCAUGUCAUCCAGAGAUAUGUAGAAAUUGAAAUCCCCUAGGAAGAUCCAAUUAUCCUCGGCCUGGUAAGACAAGGGGUGGAGGAAGGUUGUGAGCGUGAUACUAAAGGGUGCUUGUGUUGGUGUGUGUGGGGGGGGGGGAGGAUGGGGAUAGUGUCGCAUCUCAAAUGAGCUAGUCCUCUCAUUUGACAACCUCAGCCAUCAUAUUUGGAUCCAGUGAUUGCUUUCUUUUCUAUCUCCUCUCAAUCUGCAUUUUGUCUUCCUUGUAACUUCUCAGUUCUCAUGACAUUCUCCCAUAACCAGCACUUCUCAGUUCUCACAACAUUUCCCCAUGACUAGCACCUCCCGUUGGGCAUCUCCUCCCAACCAGCCUAACGGUAUCCCUCAUUGUCCCACCUUCCAGCGUGUUGUCUGCAGUCGCUACUAGCUUAGGCUAGGUUGCAGCCCUAACUGAGCUUUCUUUAAAGACCAGGGGACUACCUCCAAAACACUAUAUUCCAAAGGAAAUUCACCGUGUUGUAUGUCAAUUGAAUCUUGCUUCACUUCCAGGAGAUUGAGAUACGAGAAGUAUUGUCAAAUUAAUCCAUUUUGAAUAGGGUUCGACGAAUAGUGACAUGAAGGGGGACUAUGCACAUGGUAGGGGCAAAGGAACUCACAAGCUUUGAUAUGAGGUAGGGUUCGACGAAUAGUGACAUGGAGGGGGACUAUGCACCUGGUAGGGGUAAAGGAACUCUCAAGCUUUGAGAUGAGGUAGGCUAAGGCAAGAGGCGGAGAGAGGGUGCGAGGGGUGCUUGCGAUUGUGUGGUGUGUGGGAGGAUGGGGGUUGGCACAUGUUGAGGAAGUUUUGUAUACAUGUUAUAAUUUGUUGGUUUGGGCCUUAGGUUUCUAUCCAAGAGCAACAAAAAAUUUUGAACAAACAUUUCAAAAAUAAAUUAAAUUUGAAUAACUCUGUCACACACAUAUAUCCCCGUUGAUCUUGGUGGUCACGAUAAACUAGCUAGCCAAGUCCACACAUGCUUUCUUUUGAAUCAUUUUAUAGCAUGGCAUAACAAAUAGCAUCAGAUUCAGACGACUACUCAAGCUGCAUUUCCGUAGCACGUUUAGUCAGGUACAUACGUACACACACACACACAGAUAUAUAGUAUAUAUAUGUAUUGGUUGUACAAAAAUAAAGAGGAAAAACGUUAUUAAUUACUUGAGCGAAGCCUAUCAUGCAUCCGCAGUAAAAAUGAAUGAUACAGAGACCAGCAAUAAGCAGAGUAACAAACGAUGGAGAAGCUGCUGAUGCCGAUGCUUAAUUGCAAGGUCUCAUGGUGACACUGACAUGCAUGAUACAAGAAAGGGAAUUGUCCGGCGUCGUCAAACUCGAUCUCUUGCAAGAGCAAGACAGAUACUAGAUAUAGCAAGCGCGUAGCAGGUAGUGAUCGAGCUUCUUAGAUGAGCUCCUCCUCCUUGUGCGUCUCGAUGACGACGUCGGAGGUGGGGUAGGCGUGGCAGGUGAGCACCCACCCGGCGGCGACCUGGCCGUCGUCGAGGAAGCUCUGGUCGGACUGGUCGACGGAGCCGGAGACGACCUUGCCGGCGCAGGAGGAGCAGGAGCCGGCGCGGCACGAGUAGGGCAGGUCGAUCCCAUCCUCCUCGGCCUGGUCGAGGAUGUAGACGUCGUCGGGCACCUGGAGCUCCACCUCGCCGUCGGGGGUGAUGAGCUUGACGUUGUAGGUGGCCUGCGCGCGCAGCCUGGCGCCGCGGGCGACCUUGGCCGGCAGCGCGACGGUGGCCGGCGCCGGCGCCGGGGCGGCGCGGACGGAGAAGGCCGGCGCGCGGAGGCUGCUGAGGGCGGUGGCCAUUAUUGUGCUUUGUGGUUGCUAGGUAGCUGCAGCAGCUGAAGCAAUGGAAGAAUCGGCCACACACACCUAGGGAUUAGGGAAGGAAUGAAGGAGCAAUGGAGGGGCGGGUGGCCGGCCAGCGAUUUAUCGAUAGAGAGGAAGGAGGGGGUGGGGUGCCACGUGGCGGGCGGCGAGUGGGCGGCUUAUCUGCGGCGGGAUCGCCGGAGCAAGGAGGUUCACACGCUGCUCAUCGUCAUCGAUGGGCGUGUGGAGGCCACGCAUACAGAUCGAGCAAGAACAUGUUGGUGCUCUGAGCUAGAACAGUGCAAUGUGCUACUGUCCACACAUUUGGCUGUGGUUGGUUUUUGGCCGGAUUGAGGUUUUAAGGUCACGGGAUCACUGCGAUGCAGAGGCCACUAGCUUGCUUGCGCCUUUGAUGGGUGGUUUGUGGCCAUCAUUGUUGGCAGAGUUCUUUGAUUGUGAACACACAUCUAAUAAAGUGCUAUCUAUCACACCAAUCAUCCUAACUUGUUUCUUCUAAACACAUUAAUUACAGAUGUACAGACACAUAUACAUGUACGCACAUACAGCUUCAUUAUCACAUAUUGGCAUGUCAAGUCUUGUGAUUGAAAAGGCCACGCUUGCCACAUUCCUAAAAUAAACUCAGUAAAAUGCAAGUAAAUCUGCUAAGCCUAGAAUUUAGAAUAGAAUUUAGCGGCAGCUGGUUAGACUCAUUGUGGUGGAACCUACCCAUCCGGAUUCGAUCCGUUAACUCGGCACAGGCGUUCAUAUUUUCUUGAAUUUAGGAAGAAAUUGAUACUAUACUUUCAGGGCUACGUGCUUGUCGAUAGUGAGUUGUUAGUCUAUCCAAGGUGCUCAUAAGGGUAGGAGUACAUGUGUAUAUAUGUAGAGGUAAGUAUGUGUGCGUGUAUGUGAGCAUUUGCAUCUGUACUUUACUAUUCGAAUUUUUUUUUUAUAGUCCAGCACGCUGAGGGGUGUUUCAACUCAAAUUUGAUGUUUAUUACGAUGUUGGGCUGGGGAAACGUGCUGCUUUCCUUUUGUGGGCUUUUAGUACUGGCAUCGGCGGCGGCGCGUGAAUGUCUAAUUAUUCAAAAAAUUAGACAUCACAUCCCAAAUGAUGGCCCAGCCCAGUACGUGCCUACCCGGCCUGUCAGUUUGAAGCCAAGCACGUAUGCAGUAUGAACGUGCUGGAUGCCAUUCCUGUCUGCUGCUGUUUGCUGCUGGUUCAGGUUGGAGGUUGUUGGUCAAUGAAAAUGAGAGACAACGCGGAGAAGAAAUCAACAACGCGUUAUGCAUUCGAUGGAUGCAUGUCGUCGUUCUUGUAAUUAACAUUGUUUGACUUGAUAUAAUUUUUGUAGCUUUUUUAAUAAUGAAUAGUAAUUCCAGCUUCGGUCCCCUUCGAAGAGGAGCUUCGGUCCAAAUUUAUUACAGAACGUAGCACACUGCUACUUGUCGGGAGGAGUUUCAGUCCAAAUUUAUUACACAACGUAGCACACUACUACUUAUCACAACAGGUUCAGACAAAUGUAAACCACUCAAAAAUCAGUUGUUAAAUUGAAGGACUAUCCAUUGGAACUAAAAAACGCAGUGCUGCCAUUUCCAAAGAACAACAUGCCAUUCACUGGAACUAAAGAAACGCAGUGCUGCUAUUUCCAAAGAACGGCAUGCCGAAACAACGGAUUCUUGGUCAUUCUCACUUUGCUGCAACUCGAGGCCAAUGCGUUCCCCUGAAUAGUACAUGAAAAAAAAAGUUUUCGGUCAGCAUUUAUAAAAACCACCUCAUUUCUAGUCAACCAUAUCGCCCAGCAUAAAGCUGCACUCCCCAUCAAUAAAUAAUGAUUUGGCUUGUGUCCCCCUUGUUUAGCCCAUUGGUUAAACAUAUUGCUUAUAUUCAUCGGUGGAGAUAAGCCAAAUACCAUAUGAACAGCACGUCGGAGAAGUUUGGCAUAAUGACACUUGAAGAAAACAUGGUCGAUGGACUCCACUGAACUACAAAAGCUACAAUAUUUGUUCCCAUUCCAAUUUCUCCGAGCAAGGUUAUCUUUUGUUAAAAUAACACCAUUUUUUAGAUACCACAUGAAGAUCUUAAAUCUUUAAAAGUAUUAUCAUAUGCCAAAUUUCCUAUGUGACUUUAAUCCCAUUACUGACGAGAUGUUUAUACAUAGAAUGUACAGUGAAUGAGCCAUUUUUAUGAAGGGACCAAUUAAAAGUAUCUCUCCCUUCGCAUAGGUUGACAUGUAUAAUUUUACCCACCAGGUUGUACCAUUCUAGUAGCUUAAUCCCCACUAGUGAUCUCCUGAAGGAAAUAUUUAGUGGUGUAGCAUAGAAGACAUCAGCCACUGUAGCAUGUUUCUUUCGCACUGUAUGGUACAAGUUAGGAUAUUGAGACUUUAAUGUCCUAUUUCCUAACCAUUAUCCCCCCCCCCAAAUCGGGUUUGUGCCCCAGGCAUAACCUUAAAGCGCCCCAAAUUGAGGAAGUCCUCCUUGACGCCCAUUAAACCCAUCCAAAACUGUGAAUCACCCGGUUUCUUAUAUACCUGGCCUAGAGGUUUAUUUCUAAGGUAUUUCUUCCUUAGUAAAUCCUGUCAAAUUCCCUCCUCAUUACAAAGUUUAAACAACCACUUGCUUAGUAGACAUCUAUUUUGUGUCUCUAAGUUCAUUAUCCCCAGGCCCCUAAUCCUUCGGGUGACAUAGUAAGUCCCAUUUCGCUACUCUAUAUUUUUUCCUGUGCUGAUCAUUCUGCCAAAAGAACCUUGACCUGAAGUGCUCUAUAUUUUUAGGACUCCCUUCGGGACCUCAAAAAAUGGCAACAUGAACAUGGGUAAGCUGAUUAAUACAAAGUUAAUCAGCACUAAUCAUCCCCCAACCGAGAACAUCUUUCCUUUCCAUCCACUAAGUCUUUUUUCAAAUCUACCUUCAAUAGUCCUCCAAUCCUUAUUACUUAGUUUUCUAAAGUGCAUUGGUAUGCCCAAAUAUCGAAAAGGGUAAGAGCCUAGUUUACAACCGAACAAAAGUGAGUAUGUAGACUCUUGCUCCCUUGCUUGUCCAAAGCAGAAGGUCUCAGUUUUAUGAAAAAUUAUUUUAAGACUACAUAAUUGUUCAAACAUACAUAAAAUCAGCUUCAUAUUUUUUACUUGUUCAAUAUCAUGGUCCAAAAAAAUCACCGUAUCAUCUGCAUAUUGCAAAAUCGAGAGCCCGUCUUCUAUUAAUUAAAUGUGGAACUACCCCUUUUACCUAUUCUUCAUUUUCAGCCCUUGCAAUGAUUAUCGCUAGCAUGUCCACCACUAUAUUAAAUAGUAUGGGAGACAGCGGAUCUCCUUGCAUGAGGCCUUUCCUUGUUUGGAAAAAAGGACCCAUCUGGUCAUUAACUUUAAUACCGACGUUCCCCCAUAGUGAAGGCUUUAAUCCAAUUACACCAUGUGGUUGAAAAAACCUUUCGUACUUAACGUUUGCUGUAAAAAUCCCAUUUCACCUUAUCAUAGGCUUUUUCAAAAUCUAUUUUAAACACUAUACCAUUUUGCUUCUUAGUAUGUAGCUCAUGCAAGGUUUCAUGUAAGAUGACAGCUCCUUCCAUUAUAUUUUUUCUUGGUAGGAAAGCUGUUUGUGACGGUCUAAUAAUCUUUUGUGCUACCUUGGACAUUCUGUUUGUGGCUACUUUUGUAAAAGUUUUGAAGCUCACAUUCAGUAGACAUAUUGGUAUGUACUGUUGAAUUUGCUUCGCUACACUACGCUUCACUAUAAUUUUUGUAGCUAGUUGUAGCAACCAAUUCCAUGCUUUUUUUAGUGCGUUGCUUGGCUAAAAAAGAGUGAGAUUUUCAGAACAGGUAUACACUACUAGCUACUCCCUCCAUUCCAAAUUGUAGGUCAUUUUGACUUUUCUAGAUUCAUAGAUAUUAUUAUGCAUAUAGACAUAAUUACGACGGUGAAAGCAUCUAUGCCCCUAAUUUGAGUUUUGGUAAUUAAUGACAACCUUCGUGGACUAACAAUUUCAUUGGAGAUAUGAGUUUAGGUUAGUCCCGGAAUUGAAUUGAGUUUCAAUGGAUGCUAUGGUGAUAGCUUGGAUGAGUUUACAAUAGAAAGCUUAAGGCAAAGGUAUAUGGUAGGGCUUUUCUAUUUUACCGGUCAAGAGGUGUUUAGUGGAUGAUAAUUGACCGGGUUAAUAGGCUAGAUAGCCCUACUAUCAAGAGGGGUCAAUUUUAUUUUCUUGACGGUUCAAUACUGCCACUUUGCUCAAACAAUUGCAUUGCAUGCAUAUAGGUCUAUCUUGUUUGAAAAGUGGGUAAAAUGAUGGUAAACAUAUGUUUUGAAAAUGGCUAACAUGAUGUGUAAGGAGGAUGGUCUCCUUUGUGAAGGCGGACCGUUAUUUGACUUUGCCAUAUCUUUGAAAUAGUUUUGUUGCACUAAAAAUCUAGAGGGCGGACGGUCCGACCCUGAGUAGGCAGACGGUCCGCCACAUGACUUGUUUUUAGAUAGAACCGGUUCUUGUUCUGGUGGGCGCAGGUUUAUAAAGGUGGACGUUCCACCCCCGGUUGGCGGACGGUCCACCACAUGAUCAGAAAUUUGUAUAGAACCAUUCUUGGUUCUGUGUGGGGCUGCGAUGUGAACGGCGGACGGUCCGGAUGUUGGUAUUUAGACCUGAUAACCUACCGAGGGGGGUGCCGAGGUAGUGUUUUAGUUAGUGGAGCUUGUCGAGAUCAGGAACUCGAAGGUAAACGCAGACACACGAUUUAGAUAGGUUCGAGCCACUAGAUUGCAUUGAAGGGGUCCCUACCUCACCUUAUAUUGCUGGGGGGUAGGGUUACAAGUCGGUUGGUUACAAGAAUACAGAGGAGUUCUACUCUUAUUACAACAAGUACUUUCCUAAUGCUCAACUAGUUCCUAUCUUUCCAUGUAGAGUACGUCGUCCUGCGUUAUGGUCUCCAUGUCAGAUGCGUCUCGGUGUCCAGCCCCAUAUUCAGGACUGUCCAAACCUACUGGUGGGCCCAUAGAUGCAUGUACGGCACCGGUCCCUAGGGGCGGACGGUCCGCCAGCUAACUUUGAGAGUUAGACAGAACCAUUUUAGUUCUGAGUGCUGGGCGAAGUUGUAAGGCAGACGGUCCGCCAGUUUUGGAUGGACGGUCUGCCGUACAAAUCUUCAUCAUGGACAUGUCUAGCAGCUCCCUGUGUGCUUGUAAAUUUGAACCGCAGAUGGUCCGCGCCUGUAAGGGUGGACGGUCCCCCUGUGCUGCAACUGUCAUUUCUAGCAUGCAUUUAUUGCGCUUGUAGCUAUUGGGAUGAACGGUGGACGGUCCACGCUCAUAGAGGCGCACGGUCUGCGAAUCCCCUGUUUUCAUGAGUUUUGAACAUAACGGCUAGAUUUGGGGAAGGCUCUAUGAAAGGAUCAUGCCCGGGCGUGGGAGAGCUCUCUUGGCACUUUGGAAAGAAUUCUUGACAUACUUGUGCCUUCUUCCUUCUCUCUCUUACUCACUUUGCUUAGAGGUUGAAUUCUUGUGAGAUUGAAAGUAUCCUAGUGCAUUGCAUCAAGAGUUUGAGCUUUGUGGCAUUAGGGAGUCUUCAAGCAAGCGUCAUCGACUUGUUACUCUUGGAUGUUGCUGCCUCCUAGACGGCUUGGAGAUUGUGGAGCCGUUGAGCCCUUCAAGAAGAUUGUGAAGGAGCCUCGGCUAUUCUUUCCUAGACGGCUUGGAGAUUGUGGAGCCGUUGAGCCCUUCAAGAAGAUUGUGAAGGAGCCUCGGCUAUUCUUGUGAGAGGUCCUUGUGCUUACCUCGUUGGAGUGGUGAAUAGCAACUCUAGUGGAAUCGAAGUUUUGUGAGAUUCUUUGAAUCAAGCCGGCUCAAGAUCAAGCGAAGUCUUAGUCGGUGUUUUAUACUCGUCAACCUACCGAGGGGUAUCCCGAGGUAGUAGAUUGGUUGGUGGGGGAUCGCCGGAUCUGGAACUCGAAGGUAAAAGCGAGGACACAAGACACAUAUUUAUACAUGUUCAGGCUACCAGAGUAGCGUAAUACCCUACGUCCUGUUUGGGGUGUUGUAUAUUGGGCCCUACGCUUGGGUGUUGUUUGAUGUGAGGAUUUGGUCCUCUAUUGUGGUUCUCUGAGGUCUUCGCCUACCGAUCUAGGCACCCCUACCCUCCUUUAUAUACUUAGGGGUGGGAUUACUAGUCGGUUACAAGGUAGGAGUCCUAGUAGGAUUACAAGGUAUGAGUCCUAGUAGGAUUAUAGAGGAAUCCUAGUAGGAGUCCGUCUUCUUCCUUCCUUGCAGGUACUAGGGAUCUAUCCCCGACAGUCUUGAUAGAGGAGCGGUUGAAACAUUGAAUCUACCUCAACGUGGAUUAGGAGUGACCGGCAAGUUAUCGACACCACGGGAUAAAUUCGUCUCUUGUCUUCGGUUAUUUCUUUGCUCAAUUUUCAUAUCGCAAUUUACUUUGAGGAAUUACAUUCCUAGAGAUUGAAUUGUAUCUCGUCACCCUAGGUUGCAAACCAGCACCUAGCUUUAAAAAAGAGUAGAAAUAUAAUUUCUCUUGUGUUACUAAUUAAAUUUAUUUAGUGUUGUGAUUUUAGUUAAAACUGUCUAUUCACCCUCCUUUAGUCGGUAUCCUAGAUCCUACAAACGGCCGAUUAUUAGAAACGACUGAAAAUUUGGAACAAUUUGGAACGAAGGAAGGAAGUAGAUCGAGAUCAAAACCGAUGUCACAUCUACAAAGUAGCUUGUCACCAUCCAAGCAGUGCUUGCUUUCUAUGCGGUUAAUUACGACGGCACGCAGAGAUAGAUAUUUGUUUCUAAAUUGAUCGAAAGAUAUCAUCACCGCCGAUUAUUAGAAGGUCUUAGUUGGAUUAAUAAUGAGUCUGUGUCUGUUUCAUGAGUUUUCACGGAUACCUAGUCCUACAACUCGAUCAAGCUGCAUGCGCAGCUGUCAAGCCCGGGACAGAUCAAUCCAGUGAUCGAUCGAUGGGCGCAUCAGAUAGAUCAAUCAUCAGGCAUAUGGAUGGAUGGAUUCCUUCCUCGUCAGGAUACUUCGUUUUCAGUUUGCCAUCUGUCGUGUUGCUUUUCAGACAGCAGUUGCAUGUAUCUUGUAAUUUGCUACUACUACCUCUCUCUCGAUCGUGUUGCUUCUCUACCAUCAUGUUCCCUCAUCCACAAGCAAAAUGGUCGAUGACUAGGUUGUUUCUUUCGUACAUAGUAAAGGACGAAGCCAAGAUAAAAAUGUUACUCCCUUCGUCCAUAAAUAUAUACAUAAAUAUAUACGAAGGUUAGAACAAAAUAGUAGUUAGUUAUACUUAAUAACAGCACCGAAAAUCUUUUAUUCAAUUACAAAAGUAGAGGAAAAAGCGCAAGGCAUUUUCACUUUCCCCCAAAUCCACUCAAUUUGGCCUGCACAAGAAAUAAAACACAUAUUGGCCUGCUUUAAGUAAUUUCUUGGCUGUAGCUUUGUUUCCACGCACAUGUCUCGUGCUCUACUACAUCGUUUAGUUAAUCAUACAAGAUAGCGUGUACGCAUACAGAGUAUAUAUUAAUCUGGUGUCUUUCUCUUCAGACAUGUCCGUAUAUAUUUUACUAUAUGGUAGUACGACAGCAAUAACAUACUAAUACUAUAUCGAUGCAUGGUUAGCUCCUGACUUGAGACAGUAGCAACUGAUUAUGCAUUAAAAAGAGUCUAAUUUAAUAAAGAAACAGAGAGAGAGAGAGAGAGAACUUUCCCGAGAACAGAUUAACAAUCUUUUGUACGUGACGUGAAGAUUGCUCCAACAAAGAUGGAAAUGGUCUCAGUCAAACCAUGCACGCUCUCUAUUUUUUUUUAAAUUGUUAUUAUAUUUUAGUGACAUCCAGUCAUGCUUCAGGUACACAUUGUGUAGCUCCUCUCUAAUUACCGUUAUUAGCUUCGAUAGAAUCCAGAUUUAUUUAACUAGGGUUAACUUUUAGAAAUGAAAAUGGUAAAAAUGUUGGGGCCAGAAAAUUUAUUAUCUGCAUUUUAAAUGGUGACAAAAUGUAUGCGCCGAUUCUCAGAAGGAAAUACGACGGGAGUAUAUGUUAUACCACCGCAGCAUAUAUCUAUUCCAAGGAAUAUUCCUGCCCAUCUUAGUGGUCAUCACUUGAUAAACUGAUAAUGAUGAUCUCCAAUGAAAUAAGGGUUAAUUAAGCACUUAAGAUCGAAUUAGGUCCAUAUAUAUUCGUACUUGUUGUAUUGGAUUUAAUCAUUUUUGCUUUGCUUAUAAGCAAGUCAAUUCGUUCUUGCCUUUUUCUUUUCUCUCCUUGUCCUGGACUCGUUGUCAGGGGAUCACAUAUGUGCAUGGCUGAUCUUCAGUCUCAGGAGAUGCUGAUGUGUCCAGUGUGCUCGCUCAUUCUUUAGACCAUCCAAGACAAUUGUCCGUCUCUAGAAAGGAGAACCUACCGUUUCUACUGUUCCCUUGGGCUAUUAAUGUUAGGCAAUUCUUUAUACUCCCUUCGUUCUAGUCGUUUUAGUAUUUUUAGUUUCAUCUAGAUAUAUGGGAUGUUUGGGGCUAAAUUUUAGUCGCUAUCACAUCGGAUGUUUGGACACUAAUUAGGAGUAUUAAACAUAGACUAAUUACAAAACUAAUUGCACAACCUCUAAGCUAAAAUGCGAGACGAAUCUAUUAAGCCUAAUUAGUCCAUGAUUUGAUAAUAUGGUGCUACAAAUAUGGUGCUACAGUAACCAUUCGCUAAUGAUGGAUUAAUUAGGCUUAAUAGAUUCGUCUCGCGAUUUAGCCUAGGGGUUCUGCUAUUAGUUUUGUAAUUAGCUCAUGUUUAGUCUUCCUAAUUAGCAUCCAAACAUCCGAUGUGACAGGGCUAAAGUUUAGCCCCUGUUUCCCAAACACCCUCAUAGUAUAUGUCUAGGUGCAUAAUAAUAUCUAUGAAUCUAGAAAAAUUAAAACGACCUACAAUUUGUAACGGAGGGAGUAGUAAAAGUCAAUCUCUGUAUUACUUUCUGAUAACGAUUAGUCUAAUUAUAUGCAUUUACUAUAUUCUUAUUUAUUUGAAGUGUAUUUAAUUUCUUAGCAAUUCAUAGUAUAUAAUUGAUGCUUAUCAUAUUUACCAUACCACCUUUUUUUUGUAAGAUUAUGUUGAUUUACGUUGCCACAGACAUUGGAAAUACUACCAUGCAUUUUAUAUUUGCUUUGCUGGGUUACGGAGCUACUUGAUUGUCAUCAUCCCGAUAAGUAUGUCCGCUGAUAAGAGAUGACGUUACGAGUGAACAGACCUUUGCUGUGGAAGCGAAAGAUACUCUUGCUUUUGCUGUAUUAUUGUGCUUUGAGUAUGGUUUUGUCACGCAAGACUCGCUGAUUGUUUGUGGUGUCUUGCUGAUCAAUCCCACGUUGACAUGCUGCAUAUCAUGCAAAUCAUGAAGCGACUCGAAUCUCAUUUCUCGGAAUUCAAGCCUACACACCUCCGUGAUAAUUUCAGAAAAACUAUCACAUGCGAAUUCCUAUCUCAGAUAGUAUAAAUUCAUACCAACAUAGAAAUAUAGAAUAGCAACAGAGUCACAGUAUCAUAAAUAUCGAGUACAUUACUUCGGCACAUACCAGUAUAAGUCCAUCAGGAAUGAAUCAUGAAAGGUAAAACAUCUACGCAGCGAAAAUAUGAGCUAUAGCGAGCAUCAUCUCCAGAGGCGACUUGAGCGAGGGACCAUCCCUAGUCUUCCCAUCCAUUAUUGUCAAAGUCGUAGUCGGGCUCUGACCCUGAAAUGCCACCAUCUACCCGAGAAGCGGGUAGGCCAUGUCAACUCCCAAUAGCAGAAAGCCAAGGAAUUGGGGAAUAAUACUAUAUGAUGCAACAGCAGUAGUCAAGGAUGCAUCAAAGCAAUACCAUCUCCGAGGUCAACACCUCACAUCAAGGAAGUCAUCAUAAAUCACUAGAUCCUUCACCCAACAAUCCAGCACCCAAACACACUAGGCAAUGUGAGAGCUUCCACCCUCCACAUCUCAACGGCAAAUGCAGUCUAUCUCAAAAAGGAAGGUGGAAGUAUAAUAUAAGUCUAGUCAGAAGCAACGGUAGUCAACAGUACUAUCCAUAACCAGUGCACACGGACUAUAACUAUAGAUUUAUAUACUUUGUAGAGGUUGUACACUGUACCUGCACGGAUGGAGCCUGAACAGUAGCGUCCAAACCCCACCUAACGGCCGGAGCCCUAAUAAGUGGAUAGUACUCUCCUGUUUCCUCGAGUCUAGAACCGUCCUCAACUGCAGGGCAUGCCGUCACCAGUUGAGGAUCUCGAAGCUAUGAAACCUACCAACGUCGGGGUGCAGUCUGGUAAGAGCAUGUCAACGCCUCGAACUCUUUACACUAAUCCUCCAAUCCGCCUACAGGCUGAGCAUCAAGCGGAGAUGGGUGGAGCGGCGUCGCUCGAGGUGAGCGCGGCUGUGGGCGCCCACGCACAUGGCAAGGGGAAAAGGGCUUCUGGAAGCCUCCCUUGCCUCGGUCGGGCCUGCUGACGGGAGAUGCGGCCGUGGGUGCGGCGUGCUGCUGGGCGCUCAUGUGGCGUGUUGCUGGGCAAGGAAAGAAUGGGGGAGGGAGAGAGCGGCCGGGCGCAAAGGAAAAAGCAGAGGAGCAGCGGUGUCCGUGCAGGGAGGAAGAAAAAGGAACAGGGCGAGAAAGAGACGGCCAGGUGGGGCCUUCUCGUCAGCGACUAAGGGGCGCUCGUGUGCAAAGUUAGUCAUACUAGGUUUUUAUAAUUAAGUUAGUUUUAGUUUGUAUUUUGAGUUAGAUUCAAAAUACAAACACACCUUUGAGAACCAAAUAAAAUCCAAAUCACUCGUGACAAGCAUGUUUUAAAUUUAAAUGCACAAAUUUAAUUACUAACUUUCAAAUUUAGGGAAAGAAAUGAGGGUUGACUUUAAGUUUGACCAUGUAAUUAUAUGAAACACACAUUUAAACAAAUUUUUUUAAAUUUUUGCAAAAACUGGCACAAUUAAUAACACUCAAUUUGUAAGGAUACUACAUAUCAACUCUGCAUGGGUGUAGUAUAAUUCCUGCAUUAUAUAUGUCAAAUGAUAUGAUGGUGCCUAUCCAGUAGCAUAGUAGUAUUACUCAUUCCAAUCCUAAAUAUACUAAAUAUAUGACGUUUAUGAUAAAUAAAUUACUUUCAUAUUCAUAGAGCGAUCAAUUGUUUGUCAAAAGGAUUGUCCCAGCGAAACAAAACACACGAUAUAUAUUUAUGAACGGAGGAAGUAUUAGUUUGUGUGAUUCUAAUCGUGUUGAAGUCAUGCAUGGAGAGAGAUGCAACAAGACGAGAAUACGAUCGAUUGGUUGGGGACACGUUGGGCAGGCAACAUCACAGGACGAUGCAUGAUUGGAGUAGCGCGAUGCUAAGCUGGUAGGGGUGUGACUUAAGUGGAUAAAGUUAGAUUAGUCAUAUUUGGUAAUAAUAUAUAGGCUUUGCAUUGCUUGAUAUACGAGCCGUCGUGUACGUGUGUGGUUAUUUUAUUUUUUUUGCUGGUGAUUUCUUAUAUAUGUUGCUUGGUAUACGUACGCUACAGCAUGUACAUGCAUGAUUGUUUGCUUUUGCUUGCUGGUUUGUUCCAAGAGGGCAAUCUAUGAUUGCUACUAAGCCUCUUUGUGAGAGACGGGACGUUGUAAACUUGACGUCACCAACACAGGGAGGGUUAGAUCGAGAAACAUGGACAGAUGGCGACACAAUCUAUUUUUUUUCCUUACUUUGAAAGCUGUAGAAAAUCUCAGGCCAUGCAUCCUUAGCUUCUUGAAAAGAAAACGGAGAUAAUUACGAGUUGUCAACCAUAACACAUGUAUGAGGCAUGAACGAGAGGACUGGUUUUGAAUUAGUCACUGAUAGGUUUUUUUUCCUAGCAUCAUUAAAUACAUAUUAGAAACGGAGAAAAAGGACCCAUUUAUUAUUUGUAAAUAGGUCACAAGCACAGCCUGCUCAGAACUGCACAUUUGUAAAUAGGUCACAAGUUCGCAACAGAGCAAAAGCUACAGCACAGAGUAUGGGCUGCUGCGGCAGCUGCUUGAGGCUAGCAGCCGAGCGGCUGGGCUGCCAGUUGCAGCUGCAGCCGCUAAAGGCUGUUCCGAGCAGGCUAGACUAUGAAAUGUCAACCGUCUCAUGGGUUGAAUAAAAUGACAAUAUGAGGAUUAGCAUGUUUGGUUGGUCCUAUCACCUUUUGAUGUAUUCGUGAGAUGUUAGAAACGUGUAUAUGUAGGGAAAACCAUACCAUUUUUGUUAUUUUGUUUGUGUGAAACGGAUGAUGUACUGUUGCGAUACUAUAAGGGCUUGUUUGGCUGCCGGGGCUAAAUUAUAGCACAUGUCACCUUAGAUGUUUGGAUACUAAUUAGGAGUAUUAAAUAUAGGUUAAUUAUAAAACUAAUUGCACAGAUGGAGGCUAAUUCGUGAAACGAAUCUAUUAAGCCUAAUUAGUCCAUGAUUUGACAAUGUGGUCCUACAGUAACCAUUUAAUGAUGAAUUAAUUAGGCUUAAUAGAUUCGUCUCGCGAAUUAGCCUAGGGUUUCUGCAAUUAGUUUUAUAAUUAGCUCAUGUUAAAUCCUCCUAAUUAGUAUCCGAACAUUCGAUGUGAUAAUGGCUAAACUUUAACCUCUAGUAUCAAACAGCCCUAAAUUGCAGUUUCAACAAGUUUUAGUUUGAUUUGGUCUGAGCAAUAGGAAAGUUGAAGUUAGGGUCAGGGUUGCCUACCAAGGUGAACAGACGCGGCACCAACCUCCUCCCCUCCAGUCGAGUCGGUGGUGAGGUGGGGAGGAGGACACCUUGACCUGACCGCGUCGGCGCACGCUUACCAUUUAUUGCUACUUCCUAAUUAUUUUGAUUUAUUUAUUUACUACAUAACUAACUAACUAAAUAAAUAUGCAUACUUGAGAAAAUAAGAAAAAAAAAUCAAAGGAAAGGGGGGAAUAGAUAGAAGAUAGUUGUGGGUGGGGCCCACCGAAGCACGAAGAAGUUAGUAGCGGCGACAAGGAGGAAUAAUAACAAGCAGGAGUAGUAGUAUUUCAAUUUCUUUUGGUCAGCCGUGGGUGGCGUCUUCUUCCCGUCCUCCUCCUCCCUGCGCUUCCCUCUUUCGCCGCCCCGCCGAGGAUUCCAGCGCCGCCGCUAAUUGCGAGAGCCCGCCGCGCACGCAGCCAACCAGCCCCCCGAGGAUUGGAUUCCGUUCCAAUUCCACCCGCGGGGGAAGACGAAGAGGACUUCCAUCGAUUCCACCGGUAAUAAUAAGGUAAGAAGCCAACGGCACUGCCCCUCCCCCCUCCUCCGCCAUGACCGGACCAUCCACCGGUACGGUGUGUGUCAUUGGAUUCCAUUCCCUUCGCCUGGGGUGGGGGCGUGAAUUUCUCUUGUCGUGUUGCCGUCCGCCUCGUUAAUCCCCCCAAAGAGCACAGCUGGGCCACCUCCCUUCCCCCCCUUUUUUAAAUUUGUUUUGUGCUUGUAUAAACUAGCAAAUACUAUUUGGAUCUUGUUUUCGAUUAUUGCUCGCUCCAGUCCGGGGGCAGGCAGGCGAGGCUGGCAGGUUGGCCCUUCUUCCACCUCCCUCCCUCCCUCUGCUGCUGCUUCCUUGGGUUGCUUGGAUUCAUCGCCACCACCUUCCUUGCUGCUGCUGCUGCUUUCGAUUUCAUAAAUCUCUACACCAGUAAAUAUCUACUUCUAAUCAUCAAGUCAAGGGGGUUCCCUCCCGGCGAUCGCCUGCACGGAUUUGCAAGAAUUCCCCAAUCGAUUUGGGAGUUGAUUCUUACUUGUUCUUGGUGACUAACCAAUAUGAAUGCGCUCCAAUUCAACUCUUCCGUCUUCUCCAAGUUUAAUUGACCGGGUCUGCUGCUGUUGCCGCCAGGUCAAGCAAGCAGCAGAUACAUAGGCGGGCGGGCGCGGGGGAUCUCAUCCCAUCUCAUCCGCUUCCGCUCAGGCUGGCUCUGAGCCCCGCGCCGAUUCGGUUCCACGCGCCCCAACAGAACCGAAUAUCACCAGCACCUGCAAGGGCAUGUGACAGCCGCCGCCGCAGCCGCAGGCAAUGUGCUCCGACAUGGAUCAGCACCACCACCACGCAACCAGGUACUACUACUGUCUCUGCCCUUCCUUCCAUUGGACUCCUCAGCCUCCUCUGGAUUGUAACCCAUUCAGAUUAACUAAUCUAGUCCUGUGCGCCACCUGCCUCAAUGUUUGACUCUGCUCCUGCUCAGCCAGGUGUAUUAUCAUGUUAGUUGGAUCUCUUUGCACAAUACUUACUCUCCCCUAGUAUGUUGCAGCACGAAUGCAUCGGUCACUUGUUUGUUUCUUUGCCAACCAGCUAAGCCUGCACUAGAGCUUUAUUUAGUUUUGGAUGGCCCAAUAGAUAGCACAGGUAUAUGCUGCCCCUGAAUUAUCAUCUUCUUUAUUCUUGCCCAACAAACAGGGAGGCUGCGUCGGAGGUUUUACAUGCUAAUGGUGACCAUCGCAGUCUGCAUGCACCACAUCAUCUCGGACAGAAUCAGCCUGGGGAUACCAAUAAUAACCAGCAUCCAUCCACAGAUGACUGUUUUACCUCCAAUGCUUCAUGGCACAGAAAUGGCGGGAUGAGCCGCAAUCCAUCUGCAUCUUCUGUUGACAACCACUCGGUCAAGUCUGGGGAUGAUUCUGAUGGGGCUGAGAGUACCAAAGGCAGUGAUACGGAGAUUUCACGCCUGCUAAACGAUACCAUCUGGAUGCCACCUGAGGCCGCAGAUAAGGAGGAUGAGGCCGAGAGCUUCGACGACGAUGAUUAUAGCGACGGGAUCAAGUGGGGCCACUCAAGUUUCCCGUCCCCUGGUAAGGAACAUGACGCCAGCCCGAGCAAUCCGAGGGAGGAGCGGGAGAAGGCGAUGCUAGAAGCUAUGAAUGGCCAGCUCAAGAUACUUGUAAGCCGCUUCCUGGCAUCUGCUGGCAUCUCUUCUUCCAAGGAAGAGGGUAGCGACAGUUGGCUUGACAUCGUCACCUCCCUAUCAUGGGAAGCAGCGCUACUUAUUAAACCUGACGGUACCAUGGGAAAGGACAUGGAUCCUGGAUCUUACAUCAAGGUCAAAUGCAUAGCAUCUGGUACUCGCCGGCAAAGGUGAAUACAAUUUUUCAGCUAACCCUUUGUUUUCAGACCAAUGGAGUUUCUAUUUUUGGUUCAACCUUCAAACUGUAUCCCUUCACCUGGCAAUGUACUGGUUGCAGUGAGGUGAUCAAGGGGUUAGUCUUCAAGAAGAAUGCUGCUCAUAAGCACAUGCCGACCAGUUACCACAGUCCUAGGCUUCUGCUUCUCAAAGGAGUCCUUGGGCAUUCUGAUGUCGGUUUGUCAUCAUUUAAUUCAAUGGAUCAGGUUGGACUUCACAUAUCUAUAUGCACACAAAUAGUAAACCUACUCUGUAUUGUUGCAUUGAGGGAUAACACAUUUCUAUUUUCUAUGCCUUCAAUAAUUAGGAAAAGGACCUUUUGGAGAGAGCUAUUGGUAAAAUGAUGGAGAUGUGCAGUCCUAAUGUUGUUAUGGUUGAGAAGACUGUUUCACGAAACAUACAAGAACUCCUUCUGAAAGAAGGCGUCACGCUAAUUCUUGAUAUGAAGCUCAACCGGCUAGAGAGAAUUGCACGUUGUACGGGUUCUCCCAUAAUCUCCUUUUCAGAAUUUUUAAACAAACCAAAGCUGAAGCAAUGUGACUACUUCCAUAUCGAGAAAUUUACUGAGGAGCAUAACACCACCAGUGAGGGUGGAAAGGUGCCAUCUAAAACAUUGAUGUUCUUGGAAGGCUUUCCAUGUCCAUUGGGCUGCACGGUAUGUAUAGUGUGCACUCAUCUUAUACUCAAUUCAGUACAUUCGAUGUGCACUGAUAACACUCAAUUGAUUAAAUAGCAAGUUCCAAACUGAUUAGUAUUUUACACAUUUUGGAUUGAUAUUUACAGUAACUGUGGUUUCUUUCUCGUUCAGAUAUUGCUCAAAGGAGCAAAUAGCGAAGAAUUGAAGAAAGUCAAGCAAGUCAUGCACUUCACAGUCUUUGCAGCAUACCACUUGAUCCUUGAAACUUCUUUCUUUGAAGAUCAAAGGGUUUUUCUUAAUGAUAAAAAUAUUCCAAAAGAAAACUCUGUUAGUUCUAUGGAAGGGCUAUCAACAACUGCUUUUGAUCUUGCUGCUCUUGGUGGUGCUAUCCCUAAUUUUCCUUCACAUGAUGACUCUCCAGCACUUCGAUUGUUCCAUCCCACUUCUAAUAGCUAUGUCGAUGUGAACAAAACUUUGAGAUCUCCAAGAAAUUUAGAUGCGCCGAGUUCAAUAACCAGCAGCUCUGAUCUUCAAGAAGGUGCAAGCAUCCGGUAUGACUCAAGUCCAUCCACUAAUUCUGAGAGGAUAGCAUCAGGAGUCCCAGGACCGCUGAGGAAAUUGUUUGCAGACAAUUUAUGUCACCAGAAUAUUUAUUUACCUGUUACGUCAUUGCAAGAGACAAAUGAUAAACAGAAAGAAGUCAGGGUUCAAUCCAGUCAAGAAACUCUUAGUAAUGGUUUUCAUACUCCAAAGGUGGAAGAGUCUGCGGUUUCCAGUGAAAAUGAGGAGUCCACAAAUGGUACCCAGAAACAAGAGAUUACUCAAGCAAUCAUGCAAACAGGUUCCUCUGCAAGUGAUAAAAGUGGAGAAUCACCUGCUACGGUAGAAAACGGAGCACAUAGCGGCACCAGUAUUGUUAUCAAAGAGAGAGAUGUUGAUGACGAUCAAGCUGAUGAAGCACUUGAUUCUCACAGCAUACUGAUUUUAAUGUCUAGCCAGUGCACAGAAAAGCAGAUUAUUUGUGAACAGAGCCAUUUAACCCGUAUAAAAUAUUAUGGGAAUUUUGAUGUGUCAUUGGGGCGGUAUUUGCAAGAUAUUUUGCAGAAUCAGGUAGCACUAUUUUCUUCGUUUUCUUUCAGUGUUUGCUCUUACGUGAAAUAGCCAUAUUUUGCGUUAGUAAUACAACUUGAUUGGUUUAAGAUUAAGACUCAGCUUGUUAAUUUUUUAUUCUAGCAGAAACUGAGCUGCUCCUCAUGUGGAGAGCCUCCAGAAUCUCACAUGUACUCCUACACUCAUCGAAAUGGAAAUUUGACCGUGCUAGUGAAGCGGCUUGAGCCCCAACACCAUUUGCCUGGCGAAUCUGAAGGAAAAAUAUGGAUGUGGACUAGGUGCUCAAGAUGUGAUCACGAACAUGGGAUAUCCAAAUCAACUCCAAGAGUAUUAAUAUCAGCUGAAGCGCGCAAUCUCUCAUUUGGGAAGUUCCUGGAACUUAGUUUUUCAAGCCAUUCUGCAGCCAGAAGGUUAUCCAUAUGUGGACAUUUGGUGAACAGGGAUUGCUUGCGCUUUUUUGGGUAUGCUACGCAUAUAUACAUUUUACACAUACAAAUGAUUUAAAUAGAACUAACUCCUUGCUAGCCUUUAGGCUGUAGCAUGGCAUUGCCAUGGAAACUAUUGUUUUUCCAGUGUGGUGAUGGAUACAUCUGGUUUUGAUUUCAGGUUGGGCUCUAGAGUUGCUAUGUUCCGGUAUUCAUCAGUUAAAAUUUACACUACCUGCAAACCACAACCCACUCUCCAGUUCAUCAACCCCAUCAGACAGGAUUGGUUCGAAGGGCAAAGGAGACAUGUAUGGCUUAUUCUCUUUACCAUUUCGUUUGUUAAUUAUCUUCAGUUCACGUGCAGUGGUGUCUAACUUUUAUACUGUAUCUUUCAAGGUUCAUGCUAGAGGUGUGACACUUUAUUCUAAGGUUGCAACCUUGCUACAAAAGUUGAAGAAUGAACAUUCUGAUGUGAUAAGAGUUGCAAUCAAUUGUGGCCUCUCACUCCCUAUUAAGGACUUUGCUGAACUCGAAGAGUUGUUGAUCAAAGAAAAGGCUAGCUUUGAGGUAGGUACCCUUGCAUUAAUUUCUGUUAUCAUAGGUCCUACAUAAUUGUUCUUUUCAUUACUGUUUAUUAGUUUGUCAAUAUCUGUAUCGUUAUGCAGGGUUCUCUGGACAAGGCCAUUGACCAAAAUGGGAGACCAUCCUCAUCUGUGCAAGAACUUUUGAAUAUAAAUUGGUCCUAUCAGGACCUUCUACUCAGACUUUACAUAUGGGACCGUCGUCUACAUCAGCUUUUCUACUGUAAAUCUGUUGGGCUAGAAACUGCUGCUAAUUGCAAGAACCCUGCUGAUAUUGUGAACGAGAUUUCUGAUGGCAACUUUGAAAUUGGUAAGAAAAUCAGUCGAUUCACAUAUAAUGAAACUAUGACAGCUUUUGUGGCAGCAAGGGUCACUGAGUCUGCAAGUAACAAACUUUACCUUGACCAUCAAUCAGGUGACACUGGAGCACCCUCGCUUGAUGGAAAUCUGGAAGCUGGGAACUCUGAACUUUCUUGCAAUGGAGGCAGUAAAGAUGAAGAAUCUUCCAUUGGUCCUAGUCAAAUAGAUGUAGAUAGCACAACAGAAGCCCCCAAAGUUCCUUGUUUUGAGAUAUCCAAUGAGAAGGGGGUCCAGAGAAAUGUUACAGUGGCAGACACAAUACCUGUGGAACAGGAGCCAUCUAGCAGUCCCCAACAGUUCAAAUAUCAAUAUUGGGAUAGCACAGAAAGGUGGAUUUGGAAUCCAAUUGAUGAAUCUCAAUUGGCUUAUAGGAAUGACAUUCAAGAUGGAUAUUUGGAUGAAUUUGAAAUCGUUAACCAUUAUAAACCAUCUUACCUGCCUCCCUUGUUUGAACAGCAAGACGAUGCAUACCCUCCGCAGUUCACAGUUGGUCCAGGUAGUAAUAUUCUGUGUGUACAGGAGGAUGAGAUAUCAAGCAUAAUAGCUCGUGCUCUUGCCAUGUCUGAUGAACGUCACCAUUUAAAAGAUUCCUCUUUCGAGAAUGAGAUGGAGAACUACAGGGGAGAGCAUGCUAGAACGAUGGAGAAAUCUUUUAGUUUUAUGUCUGCAAGUUCGUACAGCUCAUCACAAUGGUCAUCUACUGGAUCUCAAGAAUCUGAAGCUAGCUUGUCAUCUAUCUCGUCAAUUGCAUCUGACGAUUUCUCUGGUUAUGAUAGCUCAUCCUUAUUGUCUCCAGCACAUCCAGAAAUAACCGUCAACGGGAAAGUAACUUUCAGAGGCAAAUACUCGGUCACUAGUAUAUAUGCUAAUGAAUUCUAUGAAUUAAGAAAGAAGUGCUGCCCAUCUGAGCUUGCAUAUAUUACUUCUUUGAGCCGCUGUAAAAAGUGGGAUGCUCAAGGUGGAAAGAGCAAGGCAUUUUUUGCAAAGACAAUGGAUGACAGGUUUAUCAUUAAGCAAAUCAAGAAAACAGAGUUUGAAUCAUUUAUUGAAUUUGCUCCUCAUUACUUCCAGCAUGUUUUCCAUUCCCUGGACACUGGAAGCCAAACUUGUCUUGCUAAAAUAUUAGGAAUCUAUCAGGUAAUUUAUAUCAACAGCUCGAGCUUGAUUUCAGUUCAUCUUCCAGGCUUAUUUUUUUAUGUGGUCUCACUUGCCUUUUACAGGUUAAGCAUAUUAGGCAUGGCAAAGAGGUAAAGAUCGACCUGAUGGUGAUGGAGAAUCUUCUCUUUGGCCACAAUAUUUCACGGAUUUAUGACCUCAAAGGCGCUACUUUUUCACGUCGCGUUGCUGACUCAAAUGAUCAUGACACUGUUUACCUGGACCAAAACUAUGUUGAGGACAUGGGUGUUUCUCCAAUCUAUAUUGGUGGAAGAACAAAGCAUCUUUUGCAGCGUGCUAUCUGGAAUGACACGGCUUUUCUCACUGUAUGUAUAUCUUUGCCACAAAUCACUUGUAAUUAUGUUUUUUCAGCAAAAAUAUUUUUUUAACAUAGUUGUUGUGCUUGCAGUCGGUCAACGUCAUGGACUAUUCUCUUCUUGUUGGAGUGGAUAAACAAAAGCACGAACUUGUAUUUGGCAUCAUUGAUUAUCUGAGACAAUAUACUUGGGACAAACAACUGGAGACAUGGGUGAAGACUUCUCUGGUAGUACCCAAGAAUGUUUCACCAACCGUAAUUUCCCCCAGGGAGUACAAGAAAAGGUUUAGGAAGUUCAUGGCAAAGUACUUCCUCACAGUUCCAGACACUUGGAGUCCUGAUAUUCCUUCUAAGCAGUGCAAAUCCAUUGGUCAUAGCAAUCACAAGUCGGUAGAAGUCCAGAAUGGUGAUAGCCUGCUUCAGCAUCCAAAUGAGGCUGAGGCAUGUGCCUGAUCCUAUGCAGGACCUCCUGGCAGUUUUCUUGAAGCCUAUUCAGUUAUCAUUUGGCUAAUUUUUCAUUUUUGUAAAAUGGUGUACAUAGGAGGACCUCACUGUUGAUCUAUCCAAAAGUUUGCAGCUUUUAGGCAAAUUGUUGGGGCAUGUGAGGUCCACAAGACAUGUACCUAUACAAAUGUUCAUUGUUAAUUUCACAAUUAUUAUAGUGAAAUUAAAAAAAAUUCAUAUGAUCAUUUUUUGGACCCAUCACCUAAGAGUCUGAAGCAGUCUUCUGUCCAAGAUAGAAAUUUUCUAUCGCUGUUGAAUUAGAUCAAUUUGAGUACCAUUUUGUCCUAUUUACCUCAAUGUGGCUGCUGGCAUCUGGAAGGGGAGGAGCAGCAUAAUGCUCCUGAUCUUGCUGCACACGGUACAAUGUAGUUUUUCCUGUAUGCCCCCCUUCACUUUUUUUUGCUACUGUACAGUAUACAAGUUUGUCAGAACACCAGGUACGGUCCAUACUGCUAGCUAUUUUCUUUCAUAAAACGAAUUCUAUGGGUGAGAUUAAGUUGCUUGUUUGUUCUAUAUUCUGUCUUUUCCUGGAAUAUUACUGCGAUAUGUAUACUCCAAAACUGUUCUUAGAUCUUCAGAGAUAAAAAUUUAAUUUGGUUUUGUCCUGUUCAUUUUCAGACUUCUUCCCUGGGGAAAGUAGCUGCCUGGUGAUGUGCAUGGAGGAUAAUGUCCAGUUGGGGGUUAUAUUACUAUAAUCCUGAUCAAUGAGCUGAUGGCAAGAGCUUUUCAUGUGUGCCAAAACCUGCUUGAAGAAGUACCAAAACCUGCUUGAAAAAGUGAUCAUUGUGUCUGUUUCAGAAAGAGCCAUUGGAUUUGGUGGAUUGAUGAAGGUCAGCUUUUCCCAGCACAGGCGGCGUCCCAACCCCAAAGUGUGGAAUAUGGAUUGCGGUGCUGCUGCUUACCAUGAUGUAUCUUAUCUUUUUGGCUUUUUGGCUCUGGAAGGCACAGGUCAAUCAAUUUGGCAUUUCAACCGGUCGCAGAAGCUGAUUUUGGUUGGCUCACAAGAGGUCCACAAGGUGAUCAUCCUGUUCCAGUUCCAGAAGGCUGUUUCUCUCAUCAUCACAGAAAGCAAAUGGUGACUGUCUUCAGAGAUCAAAGAGAAGCAUCUCAAGACAAGAACCUCACGAAGGUCACAAAAGGUACCAUCUCUCUAGUUCCUUCCCUUGUUGUCUAUCUUAGCAACAUGAGCAAUCUUUACGCUACCAUUCAGCAUAUUCUUGAACUGUUGGGGCGAUAUGAUCCAUGAUAAUGAAAGCAUAAGCCUACCAUCGAAAACAAAAACAAGCAAAAAGAAUGACAACUAUAAAGGCUAAUUUCCCCUCUGUUUUUUUCCAUUCCUUUUUGUCUCCUAUGUCUAACAAGUUGGCCACAUCUCUAUAGCCCUUUUCCAGUUAUAGAAAAGGUACAAAGAGUUGGUUUUCCUUUUUCCGAGGUCUGAUUGGUGGCGCUUGCAGAUUCUCCUUUUCACCAUCAACUAUUAUAAUAUCUAAAAGAUAUGUUGUAUUAAAAAAUGCUAGAGAUAGAUAUGUUCUGGUUCUGGUUCUGAUUCUGGCAAAUAGGGGAACUAGGGAAGCAUACAAAUUAAAGACGAUCAUGAUUCGAUUCUGCAUGCACGAGUCAAGUAUGGACACCCUGACCCUACUAGAAUGGUAGCAGCUAGAGAGUAAACACAGCACAGCAGCGCACUCAAAUCGAACCAGAUGGAGAAGGAAAACAAGCAAACAAAAAAGCACCUUCCCUUGGGUUCCCUAGCUAGAAUUGUAGUUAGUCUUGUUGUAUCUACGGGCCGGUACUAGCAUACAAGAAGUGCUGAGCUGAACUUUUUUUUUGUUGUUUCAGGUAGCUAGCGAUGGCUGCAGAGGUCGGAGAGCAUCUUCCUGCCCUCGACGAUCUCGUCGAAGAAGUCGUCGAGCUCGACGAUGAGGCUCUCGGCUCCCGAUCGCAGCAUCCCAACCCAGCCAUUGAUGAUCUCGGCUCUCUGGGCGAUCUCGUCGUGGUCGCAGUAGCCCCCCAUGCGAACGACCCUGUCCAAAAGUCUUGCUUGAGGCUGUCGAUGGCUGCCCGGGCCUGGCGGAACUCGUACAUCAUGAUGCCUGCAGUAGAUGUAGAGUGGUGGUCGCCCACCACCCGCUGCAACCAAGGAUGGAGUCCCAUCUCCUGGGCGACGCGGUGUCGCAGGCGCGCCAUGGAGGCGACGUAGCCCGAGGUGGCGCGGAGGUGCUGGUGGGUGGCAGCAGCGGCAGCAGAAGAAGUGAGGAGGUCGGGGAGACAGGUGACGGUGCCGGAGAUGAGGAGGACGAGGAGGAAGGAGGUGGCGUUGCGGAGGGCGUAGAGGACUCCGCGGAACCCGUUGAAGGCGUUGAGCUUGAAGUCCCUUGGGGAGCGGGCGUCGAGGAGGAGGGAGGCCGGGUCGAGCCUUGCGUCGGCGAGGGCGCGGUUGUCCUGCUGGAGUCCGGCGGCGUGUCGCCUGGGUGCGUUGAUGGCGCGCAUGAGGUGGUGGUGGUGGUGGUGGUGGUGGUGGUGCGGUGCGGCGGAGGCGGAGUAGAGCGGCAGCCAGUCGUGGACGGCCGGGGCGACGCGGGCGGCGGAGGCGCAGUAUGCGUCGAGCGCGGAGGCGCCGGCACGGGCGAGCUGGCAGGCGUCCCAGAGGCGGGAGGUCUCGUCCAUGUACUCGUCCAGCCACCGCUCGCCGGGAGGGAGGUGGAGGCGCUGCACCACGUGGAGAAGCUGGGAGUGGAGGGAGCGGAGGAGGGAGGCGGCCUGCUGGAGGAAGGGAGCCGAGAGGCACGCGUGCGGGCUGCGGUGGAGGGCGUCGAGGCCGUGCGCCAUCGCCGAGUAGAACCCGCCGUGCGCCAUUGCUGCUGAUGGUGUCUGGUGGUGCUGGGAUGCUGGUGGAAGAACUGUGACAGCUGGUGUGCAUGGUGCUGGGCGCUGGGUUUUAUAGAUACUCCAUCCACAAUGGGAGUGGAAGGCCAAGGAAAAGAAGAGGAGGCCGUGUAAUGCCUCCUGCUAAUGAUGGGGUGUCUGAUGCGCAGGGGGAAGGAUGAUUGUUGAGGAGAUGAUGAAUCGGACUGAAUUCGAUCGAUCCAUCCUUCCUUUCCUCUGUUUCCUCAUGACUCCAUUACUACGAUGAGAUGAGAUGAAACGAGACAGGGGUCGCCGUGCUGCUUCUCCUCUGUCGGUCCAGGGGGUGGAUCAUCCACCCUUUGCUCUGUUUGCUCAUGCAUGCAAUGCAACGCCGUGUUGUGUUGGGUUUAGCUGGAAUGUCUGUACCAAGCCCAGAUUGUUCACCAAGUAGCUAGUAGGUGUAGGCAAUAAAACUCAUUAUUAUACAUCUUGGUCAUCUGAGUUUGUUGAGCGUUUAUGUUGUUGUUGAACAAAUACUCCUAAACUGUGGAUGCAUGCACAGCACAGAUGCUACUUGUAGGACAAACAAAGUUUCAAAGGCGGGCAGGGAGUCCAAGAGAUUUGUCUUUUCCAGCCUAGAGUCUAGAGCUACUAGAGUCCGGUAGAGGAAUGAGUGAUUGGGUAUAUUCAAGGUAGGAAGCAGGGGUGAUGGCGGCAGCAGCAGCCUAGCUGGAAUGAUGGGUCUCCUUGUACCCGUACAAAUCUCUCUGGCCGCUACAAGCGCCUCCCCGCCUUUUGAGGCAUCCCUCCCUCUUCACCCGGGACGGGGCCUCCCAGCAAUCAUGCCUGGAUAUGUGCCCGUGCCCUGCCUCCCCUUCUUCUCCUCCUUACUACUACUCUAAUGCCAAAGCUUCAAAUCUUCAGUUGCUCAUCGGCCGUCUAAUCGCACGAUCAAGGGCUCGGAUCAUCUCGAUUACAUAAUCAUUCCACGGUCGUCCCCAAUGAUGGUGGUUAAUUACUCCAAUUUUGUUGCCGCAACUAGAGUGCUUAAUUAGUCCAAAAUAAACUAGAGUAGGAUUCCAAGGAAAGGAACUGGUCCAAGUAGGAGUAAGACCUGUCUUAAUAGGAGUUUUGUAGGAGUGUCAUGAACAUUAAAUUUGUUGCCACAUCAGUAAAACUGUUGAUUUGGCAAGGUCAUCACGAAGGGAAGUUAGUUUCAUCCCCAUGAUACUCAACUGGCAUGGUUACCAAGUUCUCGAUCUUAGUAACUGACCUAAAUGUUAUGUUAACAAGAGCCUAGUGCCGCCUAGGUGCUCGUGGGGUUUGGGAGGACGAGAGAGGGAUUUGGAUUUGAUUGGGGAAAUCAAAGGGCAUGUAUGUUAGGUUGUUUGCCUUUGCCUUUGGCCCUCCCUCCCAAGCAAUGCAUGCAUGGUUAACAAAUAUAAUGCCAGUACUUAAUUAUCAACUACUAAUAUACUAUAGGAGUGUAGUAAGAUUGAUCAUCGAUGCAUGGAUCAUGUUUGAAUAUUUGUUACAUACUACCAGGCCAUCAGUCUCGUAAGUAGUACUACGUUGAAUGCCGAUCGAGACUGACUCUGACUGGACCAGAAUACAACAACACACUCUCUCGAUCACUCCACUAGAGGACAUGCAUGCAUGAUGCAUUGGAACGCCUUCAUGCAUGUAUAUAAACAAUAAUGCUCCUGCGUGGCCGUGGUUGACCGGUAGGCUCCACGCCACUCAUCACGCCGCCGGCCCUAGCUCGGAUGACCAUGAACAUAUGCUAAGAAUAUGGUAUUCCAAAUGAACCUAGCCAUAUGGCAAUUGAAAAACAAAUGGUUUAUGCUUUCAUUUGCAUUGCAGAAACAACACUUAGGACUACCACGCCAAUGUCUCUUUGGCCAAAUUAUCUUUAGUUAGAAUCACACCUUUCUUCAAGUACCAAAGGAAAAUUUUAAUCUUUAGAGGAAAUCUUAUCUUCCAAAGAUCACUUUUUCUUGGUAAAGCAUCUUUGUGUAUCAAUGCGGAAUACAUCGAAUGAACAGAAAAGAUGCCAUUCUUGUGCAAACCCCACCUAAAGAUAUCUUCCUCCUCGCAUUCAAACUAACAGCUACCACCUUGGAAACUAGUUCGUAUACCAUGCUGCUAGCUUGUCUCCUACUAAAGCUCAUCGAAAAGAAAUAUUGAACUUAGCACACUUGCCACUGUUACAAACUUUUUCCUCACAAUUCUGUACAGCAUAGGAUAAGCUAACGCCAAUGGUUUAUUUGUCACCAAUCCAAAUCCAAAGGUCCUCCCAAAAUCUAACAUCAAUGGUGUAUGGUACUCCUACUUGAUACCAAUGCAAGAGAGGCUAGAGAGCAACAUGCAUGCCACAAGGUAAUAAUGAUUUGUCAACGUACACUGCCAAAAACAGAGCAACAUAAAAGUCUGUUUCUGUUUGCGUGCAUGUGUGAGUAGUAAUCGGAUACCGUGGAUAGUGUACCACUCCACUGUAUGUGUUUAUCCGAUCUGGAACAGCCAGCGCAGCUUGGGGGCACUCAGUCGUCUAGUACUGGACUAUGAUGCCGUCACGGCGCUAUGUUCCGUAUUCCGCCAACAUUUAGCCCCUUGCAUAACUUCCAAGUUUACUGUGGACCGAGUAUGCAUAUUCCAUUUGUAUAAUUGAACAGCAGUGCCAUACGAAGAACACAUGGAUGCAUGGUAGAAAUUUCAGCAGUAUAAUAAUGAUGAUAUGCAUGAUAUAGGUAGGCCUGCAUGGUGUGUAGGUGUAGGGCGGCUGAUGGCUCUUGACCGAAAACUUUGGGAGGUGCUUCUGCUUGCACUACAGUAGUCUACAGAUAGACGAGGAGCCAGAGUCACGCGCAAGCAGCAGCCUUUGCUGUUGGUGCAGCGAGUGAGAUAUGAUACUCACACUCUCAGAGCAGAGAAGAGAAUCAUGGAUGCAACAGAAUAGAGUAGAGUAGAGUAGAGCUGCUAGCUGGCCAUGCAUAAGGCUGCAAUUGCAAUGUAGUACUGGUAUCAUGCUGCAUCAUCCAUCAGUCUUCGAUUGCAUAUUUGCAUUGCACCACCAUGAUCGAUCCACGUCAAUCAGGAUCGAUCAGCUGCCUGCCUUGCAAAUUACAAGCAGUCAAGCAUUGUAUUCAUCCAUGACCCUUUCAAUGAAGCAUAUACGAUGCGUUUUUUUUUUUCAAACCAUGUAUAUGAAACCGAAUUGAGUUCGAGUUUGAAACAAGAGGCGACCUAGUAUCACCUUUUGACGGCCAAGUUGGAAAGACCCUCCUACCUUCCCCCUCUAUAAGACUAUAAGAGUAAGUAGUAGACUGUAAAGAAAGAAAGAAGGAAAGAAAGAUUAAAGUUGGCGCGCUUUUUGCCUUCCUUCCCCGAGCCAACACAAGAGGCCCAUGGCCAUGGGCGGGGCGAAUCACUCAUCAUGCUGUCAUUUCUGCAGCGGCUCGUUGUUUUUUGCCCGCCGCCUGCUCCGAUCGAUUGCCAACUCGAAAUCCAGAAAAUGUGUUGCAUGGACAGGAGGCAGCAUCCAUGGAUUGCCAUGGAGGAUGGAGCCCCCCUGCUCCUGCUCCUGCUCCUGCUCUUGCCCUGCAAAAGCCAUCGAGUGCCAUGCGAGUAAGUCUUGUCCCGUUUCAAACGUCUCCAAGAAAUGGAAUCAAUCCUCUGCUUUCUGAAUAUUUUGCCGCCGCAGAUCAUCGUCUCGUCGAUGAGAUGCCGCCAAGGCUAGCUUGUCGACCACCAUCAUCAUCGUCCUGCUAAGGGGGUGUUUGGAUACGAGGUGUUAAACUUUAACAGUGUCACAUCGGAUGUUCGGAUGCUAAUUAGGAGAACUAAACAUGAGGUAAUUAUAAAACUAAUUGCAGAACCCUGUGCUAAUUCGCGAGACGAAUCUAUUAAGCCUAAUUAAUCCAUCAUUAGCAAUUGGUUACUGUAGCACCAUAUUGUCAAAUCAUGGACUAAUUAGGCUUAAUAGAUUCGUCUCGUGAAUUACACUCCAUCUGUGCAAUUAGUUUUGUAAUUAACCUAUGUUUAAUACUCCUAAUUAGCAUCCAAACAUCCGAUGUGACAGGUGUUAAACUUUAACACUUGAUUGCCAAACACGCCCUAAAAUUGCACCCGAAUAGCGGAAUAGGAGGAGGUCCAAUCAAUCUCGACGUACAGCUUUCUCAAUCAGUCCGGACAAGAAAAUGACAAAAUGUAAUCUGAUAUAACAUUAGAGUAAAAUUUGCAAAAAUAUAUACGGAUAAACUAAACUACACAACAGUAAACCACAUGUUUAAGGUGUUCAACAAGGUUGUAAAUAAAUAGCAUUGGUGGCGACAAAGAGCCAAGACAAACGAAAAAACAGAGCUGUAGGUAGUAGCUGUAGCAGCGGCUAUUCUUCGUAGCAUUUUUUAAUAUUAAAAUACCUAAAAGCAACAAAUAUAUGCACAAGAAGAGCCAAGAUAGAAAAAAAAAUUACUUUAGAACCACUAAUCCCUUUCUUCCCUUCCAUAUCGGGAGGCUCUCGAUUUAAGCUAGAUCGAUCGAGAGCUCUCUCGUUUUAGUUUUUUUCGAAAGAAAAAAUGCCAGGAAAAAUGACAAGUAACAAAUUGGUACGAGGAAAUAACAAAAUCGAGUCACCAACUCCGGCGACGACUCCCACUCUGGCGAGCUCCGAUUCGGGUUAGGGUUUGGGGAUUAGGGUUAGGGUUUCAGGGUUUGGGGUUGGGGAGGGGAUAAUUUGUGCCUACGGGGUUAGAGGGAUGGCUAGGGAGGCGGCCGGCCCGGCGGAGCUGGUGGGGUGUGGGCGGUGGUGGCGCCGCCGGCCGGGUGGUGGAGAACAUCCGAUGGCCUGUGUAUGCGACGGGGGUGAGGAAGAGGAGUGGUUAGGAUGGGCGGGGGAGAGGGUGGGGUAGGAGGUGGGCGGAACGACACGGCGGUGGAGGCCGGUGGACUGGCGGUCUUAGGGCAGAGACGAAGAAGAUGGCGGCGAAGUACGGAUUCGGACAAAGGGGAGGAGGAGGGGAGGAUGAAAGGCAGGAGCCCGCGAAGACGGAGGGUAGCGUCUAGGAUCAGCGAAGAGCGGUUGGGGGCGUGCAAGCGAAGCUGCAGUCAAGCGUGCAGUCGCGAGGAAGACGAAGAGGAUAAGGCAUUAGGCUUGGACGGUGGUAGAUAGCAUGUGGGUGGGCCAGGGGUUCUCCACCUAUUUCUAGCUGGAGAGCUCUCUUUGUUUAAUCGCCUCCUUUUUCUUUCUAUCUCUUUCUUCCCUUCCAUAUCUCGAUUUAAGCUAGAUUGAGAGCUCUCUCGUUUUAGAUUUUUCGUUUAUCUUAUGUGACAAGUUUGGUUUUGUCCUCUAAUCCUUAUAUGUUGAUGAGUAUUAAGGAUUGGAUUCAUUCUAUUUCAUUAUAUGCAUCAUUUUUGUUGUUUUUUGUUUUCAUUUGGAGAUGGAUCUAAUAUCCUAGUAGCUAUCUAAAAUGCCUUGUCGAUUUCUAAGAUAAAAGUAUGUUUUGGAACAAUAGAUCAGAAUCGAAGCUUUACAUGUGCACUUGGGGGGAGAAAAGGCUGUGUAUUUUUGUUAAAAACCCUUUGAUGUGAAGGCAUACCAUACAAGCGCUCGUGGCCUAAUGGAUAAGGCAUUUGACUUCUAAUCAAAGGAUUGUGGGUUCGAGUCCCACCGAGCGUGCGUUUCUUUUUUUUCUUGUUUUCCUUUUCCCCCCGUUCUCUGCUUUUAAACAAGCCUUACCCUGUUUCUUCGAAAUUACAGCAGCACAUAUAUCUGUAACGGGGAUUCGGACUCUUUUUUUAAAAAAAAAGUUUCUGCUAAGGGGUUUUUUUUGAUCCCGGGCUAAAUUUUAGUCCCUAUCACAUCGAAUAUUUAGACACUAAUUAGGAGUAUUAAACAUAGGCUAAUUACAAAACCAAUUUCACAACCACUAGGUUAAAUCGCGAGACGAAUCUAUUAAACCUAAUUAGUCCAUGAUUUGACAAUAUGGUGCUACAGUAAAUAUUCGCUAAUGAUGGAUUAAUUAGGCUUAAUAGAUUCGUCUCGCGAUUUAGCCUAGGGAUUCUGAAAUUAGUUUUGUAAUUAGCUCAUAUUUAGUCCUCCUAAUUAGCAUCCGAAUAUCCAAUGUGACACGGACUAAACUUUAGCUCAGGAUACAAACACCCCCUAACAUGUUAGCCCGAUAAGGAGGAGAUAGCUGGACCUGGAUGAAUCCCUGUGAUUUGAUAGCAUUUCGUAUAAGAUGUCAAUUUUUUUUAUUUAAGCAAUACAGACGAAAGAUUUCACAUCGGAAUCUGACAGCAAAAUGAUUUCAGAUUUGUACGAAAAAGGAUGAACGCAACAGUAGUGCUAAUAAUGACAGCACCAAAAUCUGGGUGACCAAAUUUAUCAUCGUCAUCAAGACCAAAAAGAAAGACAAAGAAUCAGCAACCUUUUUACGAAGCUCUACACCAACUCGACUGGAACUUUUGCCAUUUCGGUUCUCUACUAUGUGCCAAAAAGCUCCUGAUGAUCCGUGCUGAAACGGCUGUUAGAUCAGAUGUAAGUAUGCUGGUUUAUUCCUUCCUAGUAAAUAUCGAAUCGACAUCGGCAGCUGCUGCUAAAUCUUGUCGCCUUGCUUCUCGCCGGUGAGCGGCAGCAUCUCCAUGCGGCCCCUGGGCGUGCGCGGGCCUGGCGUGGUGGCGGCCUGCUGUGAGAUGAGGUGCCUCACGUAGCCGUAGAAGGUGCAGCCGACGAGCGUGAUGGCGCAGCCGACGGCGUUCAUGGCCGAGAUGGGGUUCCGGAAGAUCAUCCACGACACCAGCACCGCCACCGCCACCUUGAGGUUGCCGGCCACGUUGAAGGUCACGGCCGUCGUCGAGUGGAUCACGUAGAAGAUGGAGAAGUUGAGGCAGAAGGCCAGCACCCCUGACGUGAUGAUGAUCGCCAGCGCUGGGGCCACGGAGUCGUAGGUGUAGAGCCAGCUCACCACGCCGCUGCCUUCAAGCACGAUUGCUGGAACCGACAGGAUCAUCGUCGCAAAUGGCGCCAUGUAGUACACCGUGUUUAUGCUGCACAUAGAAACAGUAGAAUUGUUCAUACCAAAUGUCAGGUGCCAAUCUAUAAACAAAGAUCCUCUUAUACCUGUCGAACUUGUAUCCAUGGAGCAGGGACUCUGCCAUGAUGGUCUUUGUGGAAGUGGCCAGGCAGCCCACCAUGGCAGCACAAAAGCCAAACGUGUUGAAGCUCAGCUCGGUUAUGGAUGUCAGCAGAAUCCCUCCCACUAUUGGGACCAAAGAAGCCCAGAUGCGCCACUCGAAAUAUUUCCUCCAGAUCAACCACUGAAGAAUCACUGUCACAGUGGAAGAGAUCGGUCAGAAAUUAUUAUUCUACUACUGACAUUGUGGAAAUACUAACACAGGAAAACAAAGGAUGACAAGAUCAGAUCGCUAACCCGUUGUUGCAGGAGUGAAAGAUUUUAUCGUCUGCAUGAAGGAGACUGGAAUGUAGCGAAGGCUGACAUUCCCCAACACGAUGUUUAUGCAGAAUACAAAUGACAUUGGGAAUAUCCUUCUCCAUCGAUCCUCUGAGGCAACCUCGAUCAGAGGCUUUGUUUUCAGAACUUUGAUUGCGAUAUAAGCUCCAAUAGAAGAGCAUAUGAAGUGGACACACGACACCGUCAGAGGAAAUUUGAACUCCAAUUUCUGCCAAAUUUAAAGUCAAAAAUCAUCAAGUUGAUGCCUUUAUCUUUAUGCCAAGCAAGUCGCAACAACCCCUUUUUCAACAUCCAAGCAACGAAAGUCAAUUCAAAUAGAUGAAAAGGGAGAAACGGAAAGCUUCUUCUUUAAGGUUCUCUCCGACAGAAAGCACACUACCACAUGCUAGCAGAUGGUUUCUUAAAGAACACUGCAAGCAGUGCUACUAGCAUGUUUCUAAUAUCUAGGCACAUAUAUUUUGACAGUUGUGCUAGUUUACAAGACAAAUUAUUUGAUAAAUAAAGAAUCAAUAUAUAUCACUACAAAGAUAGCGUGUCAAGUCAAGAGAGAAGGAAAAUAUUUUUCAAGCUCCUCUUAAAGAAACAAUCUCGGGCAGAAGCAGCCUGAAGGGAAAUGUUUGGGUCCUAACUAUCUUCAGGGCAUUUGUACUAAACCUGCUGAAAGUCAAAGGUGAUCCUGGACGGUUACACUCCAUCAAACCAAGAGUCAGAAUAGGAACCUUGCUGCUCAUUCUAACAACUUUUAGUAAACCACAAUCUUGAGGAACAUGCAGGAUUGCAGACUUCACUACCUGGUUGUGGCCUACUAAAUUGCAUGACUGCACAGAGGUGCAAUUUGGAUUCGUGCUAUUGAUAACCGUGCACUCCUUUUACUUUUUCCCUUUGUAUUUUGUUUAUGAAACAAAAAUGUCAGGAUAAGUUUCAUAAAAAAAGUCAAGAUACAUAUACGAACAGAGGUAGCACUAUGGUUUUCAUUUAUUCAUAAAUUUUAUUGCACAGAUGCUGUUUCUAGGACCAACAUAACUACAAUUAACUCCAGAGAUGCUGUUUCCAGGAUCUUAUUUUUCCAGCUGUACUUAUUUUUUUAGAGGAAUUCUUUUAAAAGGAUUCAGCUGUACUUUAUGCUAGCAUGAUCGUCAAAAAGGAAAAGGGCUCUCCUUCGAGUCAUUUUCCCUGCACGGCGUUUACACACUAUUGUUCUCAGUUAACCCCGAAAUCCAUAAACAGAAUUCCGUAAUUGCCACCAAUAGACAAAAAAAGAAAAAAUCUACUGUUCUUCAUCAUAAAAAUCCCGAACCUAACUGCAAGUAACCGAGUGGAGCAAUUUUCAGGUGUAAAGACUGUAUCUUUUUUUCUUUCUGUGAAAACACUAGACAACACCAGUAUUGAAGAAUCAUCUGCACCUAUGGAAAUAAGCAAAGAAAAUAAAAGGACAAUCUUUUGGUCCUAUACUCAUGGAUCAGCCCCUGAAUUCGCUUUUAAUGAAUAUUAUAGACAAAGGAAUAUAUCCGGGAAUUGAGAUAAAAAAAACAAACAACAACAAGGUUGAAUGAAUCAAUCGAUCAAUAUUUAGAAGAAGAGUAUUGGGCUGGUUGACCGACCUGGAAGAUCCACUUGUUGAUGAUGAUGACGGUGACGUUGAAGCCCCACCACUGGAGGAUGGCGAGCACCGCCCGGAUGGUGGUGGCGUUCCCCAUCUUGCCGUCCUCCAUGGAAGGAUUGCUUCUUGGGCUUGCCGGCCGGUGCCUCUCUGUUUCUCUCCUCUAUCUAGUAUUAAUUGAUCAAUCCGACACGAGAAACUCCUCCGCCCAGUGAUCUAUCGUCCAUUAAGGAAGGCUCCUAUCUUGUAGAAGGUUCUCGGAGAGAGAAGGGCGUGACGGUGGUGGUGACUGGUGGCUUAGAAUAGAUGGAGGAUAGGAGGUGAGAUGAGGAAGAGAAGAGGGAGGGGGGCGGGGAAGGCAGGGCAGGACGGAGGAGGAAGACGAUCGGAGGGAAAGGGAAGGGAUAUUCUGUUGGUUCGUUCGUUUUAGGUUGGGAAUUCAGUUGGUGUGAUGUGAUUUCUCAAAGCAUCGGGAAUCGAAAGAGUCAGAUGAUGGUGGUGCUGGCUUUUGCCACGCGUUACGUGUGCCCCUGCUCCUGCCUCUCUCUGUUUUUUUUUAACUAGUAAGUAUUUGAUGAUAAUUCUGAUACAGACGGGAAGUGUUUUCUUCAAUUCAAUUCAUCGUUGAGGCGUCUCCAAACUGAUUUUAUAUAUCCAAAUAAUUCAGUUGCCUCGUCUUGGAAAGGAAAUUAAACAUGAUCUCUCCUGUUUCUGCUUCCCAUGCAUGAAAAUCCCCGUAGAAAUCCUAUCUCGCGGUCCAGUAACGGCCCAGGGUUUUCAGCCAGAUAUCACGUAGAUAGAAAGAUCCUUUUUACGGGAAACCACGUAGAAAGUGAACAGUUACAGAUAUAUACAAGGGGAAAAAGGCCAGCGUUCCUUUUAGCUUCUGGAUCCUGACCUGACGUCCUGACCUGAAUUCAGAUCGACGUGGAUGUUGCGUAAGUGCAUACUAUUAUAUUAUGCAGUGCUUUAGAAUGUAGAUGGUUGACGAAGAAAUGGUUUCUGUCCCUGUUGUUGUAAGGAAGGCGACAUCAAGUAGGUACAGCAGGCACUUGCUCCAUUAGGAGUUAGGACGACUACACACAUGCACACACAUGGGACACACCCAGCUUUUCUCCCUAAGUACCAUCAAGCUUAUCAAGAAAUGAUUCAAACUCCCUCCCUAUUGUCUAACAAAUUUAGGCACCACAUCAAGUACAUUGCAUUGACACCAGGGGAAUACAUACAGUACAAACAUUUUCUCCCCAGCACAUAAAAGACGACGAUGGUUGUUUCCAUCAAUGUCUUCCAAGUUCCUAACCAUUCAGCCGGAUAUAUAGGAGAAAGGAGACCCCAGCUUCAGCCUUCUGCAGAGUCUUCAGGGUUAGGUACAUAGGUUACCAAGCCAUCACAAUUCACACACAAGAUGAAGGUGUUGCUGUACCACUUAUGGAUUCAGCUGGCGACAUAUCAUCCACAAACCUCCACAAGCAUCAACCACAGCCUAUGCAAAAUCAUAUAAAUACACACGUUUUGUCCAACAAAAGAAACGGUGAGCAACAUGUACAAAACAAACAUGUCAACAACAAGGGUGUCAGGUGCUGCCACAAGGUAAUGGAAGGCGCACACACACACACACACACAACAUCACAGCAAAACAACAACCACCUACUCAGAAUAACCAAAAGAAUUCAAUUCAGAAAAAAGAGAACAGAACAGGGAAUCAACAUUUCAUCUCCAGCUACAUACGCUGCCAUCUCAUCUUCACCAGCCAACAAGCUGUCUUCCUGUGUAUACACAACCCAUUAUUCAAGCUGUCAGAGUAAUGUAUACCCCUUUAGAGGGACCAAAGAAUCCUUUCCUUUCUUUCACCCUAAGCCUGUGAAAGCACCACCUCUCAAGCUGAUCCACGCUGCUGCUGCUCUUCUGUUACUUAGUCUCUGGAGCACCACUUGCCACCACCUUCGACCUUUUGGCACCAGGAACAUGCAUGACAGUCUCCAGGACCGACUUCUCAUACUUCUGCAUUGCAUCCAUCGACCUUCGCGCACUACACGAUGUGCAGUACCACGAACCUUUUGGGAUAUCAAUGCGCGGCGGAUUCAUGCAGUAUAUGUGAUAAGCAUCAUCGCAGCCAUCACACAAGACCGUCCAUUCGUCGUCCUUGGCCUUGAAGCAGCCUCUGCACAGGCAAGAUGGGCAGUACCAGCAUGCUCGGUUCUUUUGCUUCUGAAUUGCAAUCUGGCUUUCUUUCAGGCACAGAACAUGAUAGAACUUGUAAGCACAGUAAGGAUGGCCGCAUACCAAGAACUUCUUGUCUUCAUCUUCACAUGUGCCACAAUGCUUGCACAAGUUUGAUAGCGCAGUAGUUGAGAGGUCUGGUUCACUAUCUCCAUCCAUGCUUGAGACUGAGCUCUCCUGUGUUUUGACUGCCAACUCAGUUCUACUAACAUCCUCAGGAUUUUCUUCUGGCACCUUGACCUCAAGCCAUUCGCAUACAUCGCAAUCUUCAUGCGAUCUGCCAUUGUUGUUAUUCUUUAUAGCUGCAUCUAAUUCAUUGCAGGUGGGACAGAACCAUUUUGCUGGGACAUCAUCAAUGGCAGGCUUGAGACAUGAAACAUGGAAGGCGGCUUCACAUCUAUCACAGAUAAUUCUGCCUUCGCUGUCUGCCUUUCUGCCACAAUCCUUGCAAAUUCCAUCCAAUCCAGAUGUCCCACUUCGUUUUGGUAUGGUAGAAUGGCCAGAAUCACAUGGGGGAGUCGACUCCCUCAGGGUUUUGUGGGCAACACCAACCAAACUUGUUUCCUAAUGAAGAAUGCAAUUAGUAACAGAAUUUUACAAAUACUAACAAUGAAACAUUGGUUAGCAGACAUGCUCAUAGCACACCACUCACCUCUAUCUUGUGCUCGGUCAUAUCAAUUUCUGAAACGCCAGAAGCCUACAAAGAAUAUUUCUAUUAGCAAUGGCCAGCAUGAAAGGAGUGAUUUCAACAAUAUGAUAGUGUCUCUCGAGUCAAAAUCCAUCCAUCUCGGAGCUAGCACCAUCAUUUAUCACUAACAAAAAACUAACAGCUUACCUGCUUUUGACAAGAAGCUUGUGAAAUGACUGAAAGACUGCUCGCCAGACCAACCAUUUCUUGGCCAACUUGUUCAAACUUCUUCCAUAUCUGCAUAAUAAACAAAUAUAAAUACAUAGUAAAAGAAGUGUUGAUGAUAUGUUCCCACCUGAAUGUUUAAGGUAACUUCUAAGGAUGUUUGGUACAUGGAUACAACAAACAAACAAAACUACAGUUGAGAAAAAUGAAAAACAAAUAUAAGAGAACAGCUUUGGCCUUUGAGAUACAUAGGAGGUACUAACAUGUAAACAAAUCUAAUCAUUCAUCACUUGCCCCCAAAAACAUUAAGGGUGUGAUUGGUUUCGUAUCACAGUAUCCUGGCUCGCACCACGCAUGCAGGCCUGUGCUGGCCAGGCCUGCCAGAUGCAGCCGGUUUUUGUUUGCUUGCCUGCACCCAGACAGCCAGGACAGGUUCAGAGCCUGAUUGGAUACCCACACCCAGCCAUUAGCCAAUCCGAUUUUUCUCACUGCACUCUUGGCCCGCGCGCUCGCCUGCACCACGUGAGCCAGGCCCGCGGGAAACGCCCGCUCGCCACGUUUCUUCGAGCCAGGCUCUAGCCUCCUUUUUGCAUCCAUGGAGCCUGGCUCCGGGGCCUACACAGGCAACCAAUCAGUCUCCCCUGCAUCCACAGAGCCUGACCGGGGAGCAUGCGGGCAACCAAUCAGCACUUAAGGUCACGUUCCCCCUUUUGCCUUCUUCCAUUUAAGAAAAGAAGUGAACAAGGUAAAUAAAACCUUCCUCACAAUACAUGGUUUAAAUCUACUUAUUGAGCACUAGUGCACAGCAGCAUGCUACAGCCCAUGUUAGAUUUAUGUGCAUUCAUUAAUGCCAUCCGCUGAUGGGUCAAGGUCAAGCUUGCGCCUUGUGGUCCACAUAAAGUGAGAGGCCCAAGGGAAUCGGCAAGGCGACGCUUCAGGGCAGUGGAUGAUGUGGGUGGAGAGAAACAUAGCAUGAAUUCAUGAAGACAGGGCAGCAGAUCCCUUCCCACGAAAAACAGAUAUUAGGUGUCCUUCGUAGGAAAGGAGGCACUACAUCUCAGAGUUGCCUUGAGUCAGUAGAGAAACAUGGCUAUGUGGUUAGCCAGUCACAUAUAUGCUGUUUUGGUUGAGCACACCUAUUCCAGCUACAAUGGCGUAGGAAAAACAUGCACCCUUCUUCCCAUGAUUCUAUUGUUUAAAACUUGGAUUUUCAGAAGAAUUUCGAAGGGGCAACCAAUGUGCUGGAAAACAGGACCGAACAGGCCACCAACAUGGAAAGAAUCAUUCCAUCUACUACGACAUUUUAAAUCUAUGUGAUCAAACAGACAAGUGACGGGUAAGAUAUUGAAAUCUUGAGCGUUAAAAGAACCUUGGCUCCGAAAAAUAAGUGCAGCUACAUCUUUAUCUAUAUCAGAGGAAACAGUACCCAAUAAAAAUGAAGGAAUGCAUGAAACAAAAAAACAGGUACCUGUUUGAUAUCAUGGUCAAGCAGCGCAGGAUUCUGUGCAUAAUCUCCAUUUUUCAUCUUGGCAUCAAUUUUUUGCAAGCCAAUCACAUCUUCAUCAGGCUUAUUGACAUUGAAAGUUGCAAGUAGCAAAUCACAGAACAAGGCAAACUUCUCAGAGACUAGAAUGUCAAAGAGAGCAUUAUGGCAGAUUGCCUUGUUGGCUUCCAAUGAUGCUGCAGUUCCAUCUUCUAACUUAACUAAGGCGCCAUUGUUUGCAGCUGCAUCUUCUGCCUUAACCAAGGCACCAUUAUUCUCUAUGGCAUGUACCACUCCACUUGGGUCCUCUCUGCCUUGGCCCUCACCUAGGCUCCCCUGGUAGAUACAGAAAAACAAAAGAGAAGCUUUUGUUAGGGAAGAAGGAAACGAAGGUACUCGUUAACCAAGUUUGUUCAAUCUGAAGAACGGGAUUACUGACAUUUUCCAGGGGCUGGCAGCUAUUAUGUCUGAGUGCAUCACGAAUGCAGCUCUGAAUCCCUCCAGAGCCCUGGCUCACCGCAGGGGAUUGCAGGAGGCCCUCCAGCGUGUCCCUCCAGCUUCUCCAGUGCCUGGCGAGCAUCCGGUAGGCACCUUGCUGAGAAUUGCUGGCGUGGGGCACCAUGCUCAUCUGAUUCUGCGCGGGAAGAAAGCAGAUAAAUCUUGGGAAGCACAAGCCAUGGCUGCAAGAGGAGGACAGAGAAUUCCAGGACAACCUAGCCUAGACCAAGAAUUGCUACAUGAAAAGGGAAUCUUGGAAACGAAAUCUUGCGGCAUAGGGUAGAAACGAAAUCUUGGCGGGCUGAAGGCACCCCGAAGCCGGGCAGAUGCUCUACCAAACCAAAUCCAUCCGCCGGUAGCAAAGGAAGAAGAAGCGGGGAGGGAAAGAAGAUCCGGCUAGGGCUAGGAGGGGAAUGCGUACCUGGUCGGGGCCGGAUGCGACGGCGCUGCCCUCAGCAGGUUUGGCGCUAGUGGCGCGGCGGCGUCGCUUGUAGGUGAGGAGGUCGGUCUGGAGCAGGUCCCCCGCGGCGC
rnacentral:lncRNA from 1 species